GCUUGAUAAGCCCUCGAUAAGCAGUCUGUCUCUUUUCCCCAAGGACCUAGAGUCUGAGCUUUUCUUUCUGACCUCUCUUUGAGGUCCAGGUUUCUUCCCUGUGGAGGAGGCAGGCCCAAAGCUCUCAUCCUGUGACCCGUCCGAGAGAGCCGCUCAGAGCUGACAGGAUCAAAAGUGGAGGCAUUGAGCUUAGGGAAUAGAAAUCUCUGUACAUGCUCAGACUGGAGAGGAGGAAGGAGACCAGCUUUUCAUGUAUGGUUUUUUUUUUUUCUUUCACUGCUUCUCACUCUCUCCACUUAUAGUGAGUCUCACUGUAUGCAUGUGCAGCAGGAUGUGCCACUGCAUACAAAUGUGCUGAAGCGCUCUGCGACUUUGCGUUUUUCCCUUUGUUGACUUUUCCUGGCAGAGGUGUGAUGGGCUGGCUACAAGAUGUUAGUGGGUAGAUGUAAACAAAGGCACUGAACCAGAAAGAAGGGUCGACAUGUUUUCCCAGAAGGCAGCAAAGCUAAUCACAUAGUAUUGUAGACAUCCGUUGGAUCCCACAGCAGGGGCUGCUGCAAGAAGAAUGACACCAAUGUGACAAAGGCAGCAUAGCAGUAUUUCUUUAUUGUUAUAGUAGAUUCAUCAAAAUUAUGAAGACUUAUUUGCAGUUACAAGGUGUUCAGUCAAACCAUUUAGAUAGUUUGGGCUUUGUAAAAAAACGUGUUGUUUUAGGGAGUUUUGGUACUCACUGAGAGUGAAUGCCUGCUGUCAGGCUUCCCAUGAGAUACAGUGCUUUCUCUUUGCAUUUGCACAAUUAGAAUUACAGUACAAAGGAAACAGUAUUGAGGAUGCGUAUCAUAUCUUUGUCGUGGUGCUUGGUUUUCAUUAUGACAACAGAGUGUGAGUGUGUAAGUGGACCCACAAGGAGGAGGGGAGUUGGUGUUUAAUAUGUAGCUCUAUCCACAUCAUAGCUGGACUGGCCAUCGGGCAUUUUUUUUUUUUUUUGGAAGGGUAUAAAUAAUGAAAGGUGUUGGAUUGGCCAAUUGGUCAUGAUCGACUCUAGGCUGGACCAAUUACAGCCGAGGAGGUUGAAUGCACCCUCCCCCUUGUUUAGCAAUCUUAUAGACGAACUAAAAAAAAAUGGAGAACAAAAAAAGGAAAGGAGGUGCAGA
ensembl:lncRNA